UACGUAGGGUGCGAGCGUUAAUCGGAAUUACUGGGCGUAAAGCGUGCGCAGGCGGUUGUGCAAGACAGAGGUGAAAUCCCCGGGCUUAACCUGGGAACUGCCUUUGUGACUGCGCGGCUAGAGUGUGUCAGAGGGGGGUAGAAUUCCACGUGUAGCAGUGAAAUGCGUAGAUAUGUGGAGGAAUACCGAUGGCGAAGGCAGCCCCCUGGGAUAACACUGACGCUCAUGCCCGAAAGCGUGGGGAGCAAACAGG
rnacentral:rRNA from 1 species